UGGGGAAUAUUGCACAAUGGGGGAAACCCUGAUGCAGCGACGCCGCGUGAGCGAAGAAGGUUUUCGAAUCGUAAAGCUCUGUCCUAUGAGAAGAUAAUGACGGUAUCAUAGGAGGAAGCCCCGGCUAAAUACGUGCCAGCAGCCGCGGUAAUACGUAUGGGGCGAGCGUUGUCCGGAAUUAUUGGGCGUAAAGGGUACGUAGGCGGUCUAUUAAGUCAGGUGUGAAAGCGUGAGGCUUAACCUCAUUAAGCACUUGAAACUGAUAGACUUGAGUGAAGGAGAGGAAAGUGGAAUUCCUAGUGUAGCGGUGAAAUGCGUAGAUAUUAGGAGGAAUACCGGUGGCGAAGGCGACUUUCUGGACUUUUACUGACGCUCAGGUACGAAAGCGAGGGGAGCAAACAGG
rnacentral:rRNA from 1 species